UCGGGAAUAUUGCGCAAUGGAGGAAACUCUGACGCAGUGACGCCGCGUAUAGGAAGAAGGUUUUCGGAUUGUAAACUAUUGUCGUUAGGGAAGAAAAAAAUGACAGUACCUAAGGAGGAAGCUCCGGCUAACUACGUGCCAGCAGCCGCGGUAAUACGUAGGGAGCAAGCGUUAUCCGGAUUUAUUGGGUGUAAAGGGUGCGUAGACGGGCGAUCAAGUUAGUUGUGAAAUCCCUCGGCUCAACUGAGGAACUGCAACUAAACUGGUUGUCUUGAGUGCAGGAGAGGUAAGUGGAAUUCCUAGUGUAGCGGUGAAAUGCGUAGAUAUUAGGAGGAACACCAGUGGCGAAGGCGACUUACUGGACUGUAACUGACGUUGAGGCACGAAAGUGUGGGGAGCAAACAGGAUUAGAUACCC
rnacentral:rRNA from 1 species